rnacentral:rRNA from 1 species
GAUGAACGCUAGCGAUAGGCCUAACACAUGCAAGUCGAGGGGCAUCACAUGAAGUAGCAAUACGGAUGGUGGCGACCGGCGCACGGGUGAGUAACACGUAUGCAACCUGCCUUCAACAAGGGGAUAACCCGUUGAAAGACGGACUAAUACCCUAUAACACAGGGGUCCCGCAUGGGAAUAUUUGUUAAAGGACAACCGGUUGAAGAUGGGCAUGCGUUCCAUUAGCUAGUUGGCGGGGUAACGGCCCACCAAGGCAACGAUGGAUAGGGGAACUGAGAGGUUUAUCCCCCACACUGGUACUGAGACACGGACCAGACUCCUACGGGAGGCAGCAGUGAGGAAUAUUGGUCAAUGGACGCAAGUCUGAACCAGCCACGUCGCGUGAAGGAAGACGGCCCUACGGGUUGUAAACUUCUUUUAGUACGGGAAUAAAGUCGCCCCACGCGGUGGGGUUUUGCAUGUACCGUAUGAAUAAGGAUCGGCUAACUCCGUGCCAGCAGCCGCGG